ACGAUAUAAAUAUUUCCCACUUACGAGUAAUAACAACAUUUUAUUAUCUCCAUUUACACAUACAUGAAUAAAUAAGUUGACAUAUUUUUGGCAAAGCGUUUUUUUUAAGACUCUCCAUCUGAAGGCGUUCGUGAGCGACGGUAGCUGCUUUCCAUCAGGUGGACCGUCUGGUCAUUUGCCUAUUAUUACAUUAAAAAAAAAUUAUAAACCUUAGGAAACAACUUAAAAUCAAAGGUAAUUACAAGUAGAUCUCGAACCAUCAAUUACAUUACGUCCAUGACUGCAUCGGAUUCGAGUUCUUUGCACUUCGUUCAAUUAAGGAUGCAAUUUCUAAAGGGGGCUGGACGCAGCAAGCACCUCCCCGAAAUUCGCGUUGUCUGAAUGCAUAUUAAUAAUUUGGACGCAAAAAAAUAAUUCUUUUUUCUGCAAAUGGCGGGAAACUUAUCAACUCAUAAUUGCUUAAUUAUCAAUGUUGUAUAAGUACACUGUAAUGAUCCCCAUA